rnacentral:rRNA from 1 species
UACGUAGGGUGCAAGGCGUUAAUCGGAAUUACUGGGCGUAAAGGCGUGCGCAGGCGGUUAUGUAAGACAGGUGUGGAAAUCCCCGGGCUUAAACCUCGGGGAACUGCAUUUGUGACUGCAUAGCUAGAGUACGGUAGAGGGGGAUGGGAAAUUCCGGCGUGUAGGGCAGUGAAAUGCGUAGAGUAUGACGGGAGGAACACCGAUGGCGAAGGACAACUCCCCUGGACCUGUGACUCGA